AUUACUUAGAAUAAGGCAUGGCUGGGAUCAGUGCAGUCCUUGUACGACGAAACUGCGAAUGGCUCAUUAAAACAGUUAUCGUUCAUUUGGUAAUCAUCUACUACAAGGAUAACUGUAGUAAUUCUAGAGCUAAUACUUGCGUUUUCCCGACUUCUCGGAAGGGAUUGCAUUUAUUAGAUACAAACCAAUCCGUGGUUUACCACUGCUAUAUGGUGAUUCAUAAUAACUAACCGAAUCGCAUGGGCUCGCCCGGCGAUAGACCUUUCCAGUUUCUGAUCUAUCAGCUAUUGACGGUAGGGUAUUGGCCUACCGUGGCGAUGACGGAUAAAGGGGGAUUAGGGUUCGACUCCUGAGAGGGAGCCUGACCAACGGCUACCACAUCUAAGGAUGGCAGCAGGCCCCCAAAUUACCCAAUCCUGACACAGGGAGGUAGUGACAAGAAAUAACAAUACAGGGCUUCACAGUCUUGUAAUUGGAAUGAGUAGAUUCUAAAUCUCUCU
rnacentral:rRNA from 1 species